GAGGAUCUUCCUCGGGGCGGAGGGACACAGUGGUGCUGAGCCGACCUUCCCUAGAGUGACAGUCCUGCCUCAGGCGGAGACUCUGGGCAGCGGGGUGACAGUUCUCAGGCGAAGGAGCGCUACCGGGAGUUUAGUGACCACGGCAGAAAGCAGAAACAUGAGGAUGGGCAUACUGGAAGGAGCAAGAAGAGGAAACAGUGCAUAGUCCAUUUUAUAAUUGAGACAUUCAUCGAUAACUGAAAAAAAGUUUAAUAACAGGUCCAGUCUUUCUCAGCAACAGCAAGGGAUAAGAAAAGCAACCAAGGCAGUGAGCUGUCCGACCACUGGGAAGCCAGUUCACAAAGCCAUCAGAAGACUGAGCUUCGCUGUUACUCGCGCUGGUGUUUCCUUCCACAGAUCAAUGGUCAUCAGGUUGGACUGGAGCUGGAAGUCUAGAUCCCACUCAGUGUUGCCUCAGAACUUUGUAGAUGCUGCUUCUCUCUCUUCUGAUAUUCAGUGUUGUUAAGAAGUCUGAUGAUACUAGGAUUAUUUUUUCUCUAUGGGUAAUUGGUUUUAUACUUAAAAUUUCUUGGAACUUCUAGGUUAUUCUUUUUGUCAAUUGAAAGAUAAGCACAACUUCAAAAAUCACCAAAUAUUUGGGAAAUAUAAACAUUAUUAAAAUGCAGGUAAUUUGCAUAAACUGAAAAACGAACACACAAGGAAACAGAAAAACAGGAAAUAUGGAAAAGAAAGACUUUAAAAUAAACAUAACUCAUAUUUUAAGAAUUAUUAGACAAGAAAUAACAUUUGCAAAACAUUUUAUGGGCUGAUGUAAAAAAGAACCAUUAAAGAUCUUAAAAUAUUCACACUGGUAUUAAAAACUCAAGACAAAUUAUUG